rnacentral:tRNA from 3 species
UCGGAGAGCGGGGCGGCGGCCCGCCCGCCGGGUUCUGGGGUGGCCCGGGUGCUGCCGCCGGGUCUCCCUCCGGGCUCCCGGGU